AGGAAUAUUGGUCAAUGGGCGCAGGCCUGAACCAGCCAAGUAGCGUGAAGGAUGACUGCCCUAUGGGUUGUAAACUUCUUUUAUAAAGGAAUAAAGUCGGGUAUGGAUACCCGUUUGCAUGUACUUUAUGAAUAAGGAUCGGCUAACUCCGUGCCAGCAGCCGCGGUAAUACGGAGGAUCCGAGCGUUAUCCGGAUUUAUUGGGUUUAAAGGGAGCGUAGAUGGAUAUUUAAGUCAGUUGUGAAAGUUUGCGGCUCAACCGUAAAAUUGCAGUUGAUACUGGAUAUCUUGAGUGCAGUUGAGGCAGGCGGAAUUCGUGGCGUAGCGGUGAAAUGCUUAGAUAUCACGAAGAACUCCGAUUGCGAAGGCAGCCUGCUAAGCUGCAACUGACAUUGAGGCUCGAAAGUGUGGGUAUCAAACAGGAUUAGAUACCCUGGUAGUCCACACGGUAAACGAUGAAUACUCGCUGUUUGCGAUAUACUGCAAGCGGCCAAGCGAAAGCGUUAAGUAUUCCACCUGGGGAGUACGCCGGCAACGGUGAAACUCAAAGGAAUUGACGGGGGCCCGCACAAGCGGAGGAACAUGUGGUUUAAUUCGAUGAUACGCGAGGAACCUUACCCGGGCUUAAAUUGCAGAUGAAUUACGGUGAAAGCCGUAAGCCGCAAGGCAUCUGUGAAGGUGCUGCAUGGUUGUCGUCAGCUCGUGCCGUGAGGUGUCGGCUUAAGUGCCAUAACGAGCGCAACCCUUGUUGUCAGUUACUAACAGGUUUUGCUGAGGACUCUGACAAGACUGCCAUCGUAAGAUGUGAGGAAGGUGGGGAUGACGUCAAAUCAGCACGGCCCUUACGUCCGGGGCUACACACGUGUUACAAUGGGGGGUACAGAGGGCCGCUACCACGCGAGUGGAUGCCAAUCCCAAAAACCUCUCUCAGUUCGGACUGGAGUCUGCAACCCGACUCCACGAAGCUGGAUUCGCUAGUAAUCGCGCAUCAGCCACGGCGCGGUGAAUACGUUCCCG
rnacentral:rRNA from 1 species